rnacentral:rRNA from 1 species
AGCGAACGCUGGCGGCAGGCUUAACACAUGCAAGUCGAGCGGGCAUCUUCGGAUGUCAGCGGCAGACGGGUGAGUAACACGUGGGAACGUACCCUUCGGUUCGGAACAACUCUGGGAAACUGGAGCUAAUACCGGAUACGCCCUUAUGGGGAAAGGUUUACUGCCGAAGGAUCGGCCCGCGUCUGAUUAGCUAGUUGGUGGGGUAACGGCCUACCAAGGCGACGAUCAGUAGCUGGUCUGAGAGGAUGAUCAGCCACACUGGGACUGAGACACGGCCCAGACUCCUACGGGAGGCAGCAGUGGGGAAUAUUGGACAAUGGGCGCAAGCCUGAUCCAGCCAUGCCGCGUGAGUGAUGAAGGCCUUAGGGUUGUAAAGCUCUUUUGUCCGGGACGAUAAUGACGGUACCGAAAGAAUAAGCCCCGGCUAACUUCGUG